AGAGUUUGAUCAUGGCUCAGGAUGAACGCUGGCGGCGUGCUUAACACAUGCAAGUCGAACGAAGCAUUUAAGACAGAUUACUUCGGUUUGAAGUCUUUUAUGACUGAGUGGCGGACGGGUGAGUAACGCGUGGGUAACCUGCCUCAUACAGGGGGAUAGCAGCUGGAAACGGCUGGUAAUACCGCAUAAGCGCACAGUACCACAUGGUACAGUGUGAAAAACUCCGGUGGUAUGAGAUGGACCCGCGUCUGAUUAGCUGGUUGGCGGGGUAACGGCCCACCAAGGCGACGAUCAGUAGCCGACCUGAGAGGGUGACCGGCCACAUUGGGACUGAGACACGCCCCAGACUCCUACGGGAGGCAGCAGUGGGGAAUAUUGCACAAUGGAGGAAACUCUGAUGCAGCGACGCCGCGUGAGUGAAGAAGUAGUUCGCUAUGUAAAGCUCUAUCAGCAGGGAAGAUAGUGACGGUACCUGACUAAGAAGCUCCGGCUAAAUACGUGCCAGCAGCCGCGGUAAUACGUAUGGAGCAAGCGUUAUCCGGAUUUACUGGGUGUAAAGGGAGCGCAGGCGGGAAGACAAGUUGGAAGUGAAAUCCAUGGGCUCAACCCAUGAGCUGCUUUCAAAACUGUUCUUCUUGAGUAGUGCAGAGGUAGGCGGAAUUCCCGGUGUAGCGGUGGAAUGCGUAGAUAUCGGGAGGAACACCAGUGGCGAAGGCGGCCUACUGGGCACCAACUGACGCUGAGGCUCGAAAGUGUGGGUAGCAAACAGGAUUAGAUACCCUGGUAGUCCGCACCGUAAACGAUGAUUACUAGGUGUUGGAGGAUUGACCCCUUCAGUGCCGCAGUUAACACAAUAAGUAAUCCACCUGGGGAGUACGACCGCAAGGUUGAAACUCAAAGGAAUUGACGGGGGCCCGCACAAGCAGUGGAGUAUGUGGUUUAAUUCGACGCAACGCGAAGAACCUUACCAAGUCUUGACAUCCGUUGACCGCUGUAGAAAUACAGUUUUCCUUCGGGACAGCGAGACAGGUGGUGCAUGGUUGUCGUCAGCUCGUGUCGUGAGAUGUUGGGUUAAGUCCCGCAACGAGCGCAACCCUUAUGGUCAGUUACUACGCAAGAGGACUCUGGCCAGACUGCCGUUGACAAAACGGAGGAAGGUGGGGAUGACGUCAAAUCAUCAUGCCCUUUAUGACUUGGGCUACACACGUACUACAAUGGCGUUAAACAAAGAGAAGCAAGACCGCGAGGUGGAGCAAAACUCAGAAACAACGUCCCAGUUCGGACUGCAGGCUGCAACUCGCCUGCACGAAGUCGGAAUUGCUAGUAAUCGUGGAUCAGCAUGCCACGGUGAAUACGUUCCCGGGCCUUGUACACACCGCCCGUCACACCAUGAGAGCCGGGGGGACCCGAAGUCGGUAGUCUAACCGCAAGGAGGACGCCGCCGAAGGUAAAACUGGUGAUUGGGGUGAAGUCGUAACAAGAUA
rnacentral:rRNA from 1 species